CCACGGGGGGCUGCAGUGGGGAAUAUUGGACAAUGGGGGGAACCCUGAUCCAGCCAUACCGCGUGUGUGAAGAAGGCCCUCGGGUUGUAAAGCACUUUCAGUGAGGAAGAACGCCUGGUGGUUAAUACCCAUCAGGAAAGACAUCACUCACAGAAGAAGCACCGGCUAACUCCGUGCCAGCAGCCGCGGUAAUACGGAGGGUGCGAGCGUUAAUCGGAAUUACUGGGCGUAAAGCGCGCGUAGGUGGCUUGAUAAGCCGGUUGUGAAAGCCCCGGGCUCAACCUGGGAACGGCAUCCGGAACUGUCAAGCUAGAGUGCAGGAGAGGAAGGUAGAAUUCCCGGUGUAGCGGUGAAAUGCGUAGAGAUCGGGAGGAAUACCAGUGGCGAAGGCGGCCUUCUGGACUGACACUGACACUGAGGUGCGAAAGCGUGGGUAGCAAACAGGAUUAGAUACCCGAGUAGUC
rnacentral:rRNA from 1 species